GAUGAACGCUGGCGGCGUGCCUAAUACAUGCAAGUCGAGCGAACAGAUGAUGAGCUUUCUCCUCUGACGUUAGCGGCGGACGGGCGAGUAACACGUGGAUAACCUACUUAUAAUACUGGGAUAAUUUCGGGAAACCGGAUCUAAUACCGGAUAAUAUAUUGAACCGCAUGGUUCAAUAGUGAAAGGCGGUUUUGCUGUUACUUAUAGCUGGUUCCGCGUCGCAUUAGCUAGUUGGUAAGGUAACGGCUUACCAAGGCGACGAUGCGUAGCCGACCUGAGAGGGUGAUCGGCCACACUGGAACUGAGACACGGUCCAGACUCCUACGGGAGGCAGCAGUGGGGAAUCUUGCGCAAUGGGCGAAAGCCUGACGGAGCAACGCCGCGUGAGUGAUGAAGGUCUUCGGAUCGUAAAACUCUGUUAUUAGGGAAGAACAAAAGUGUGAGUAACUAUGCACGUCUUGACGGUACCUAAACAGAAAGCCACGGCUAACUACGUG
rnacentral:rRNA from 1 species